UAGGGAAUCUUGCGCAAUGGGCGAAAGCCUGACGCAGCCAUGCCGCGUGAAUGAUGAAGGUCUUAGGAUUGUAAAAUUCUUUCACCGGGGAAGAUAAUGACGGUACCCGGAGAAGAAGCCCCGGCUAACUUCGUGCCAGCAGCCGCGGUAAUACGAAGGGGGCUAGCGUUGCUCGGAAUUACUGGGCGUAAAGGGCGCGUAGGCGGACAUUUUAGUCAGAGGUGAAAGCCCAGGGCUCAACCUUGGAAUUGCCUUUGAUACUGGAUGUCUUGAGUUCGGGAGAGGUGAGUGGAAUGCCGAGUGUAGAGGUGAAAUUCGUAGAUAUUCGGCGGAACACCAGUGGCGAAGGCGACUCACUGGCCCGAUACUGACGCUGAGGCGCGAAAGCGUGGGGAGCAAACAGGAUUAGAUACCCUGGUAGUCCACGCUGUAAACGAUGAGUGCUAGUUGUCGGCAUGCAUGCAUGUCGGUGACGCAG
rnacentral:rRNA from 1 species